rnacentral:rRNA from 1 species
GAUGAACGCUGGCGGCGUGCCUAACACAUGCAAGUCGAGCGAUUCUCUUCGGAGAAGAGCGGCGGACGGGUGAGUAACGCGUGGGUAACCUGCCCUGUACACACGGAUAACAUACCGAAAGGUAUGCUAAUACGAGAUAAUAUACUUUUAUCGCAUGGUAGAAGUAUCAAAGCUCCGGCGGUACAGGAUGGACCCGCGUCUGAUUAGCUAGUUGGUAAGGUAACGGCUUACCAAGGCGACGAUUAGUAGCCGACCUGAGAGGGUGAUCGGCCACAUUGGAACUGAGACACGGUCCAAACUCCUACGGGAGGCAGCAGUGGGGAAUAUUGCACAAUGGGCGAAAGCCUGAUGCAGCGACGCCGCGUGAGCGAUGAAGGCCUUCGGGUCGUAAAGCUCUGUCCUCAAGGAAGAUAAUGACGGUACUUGAGGAGGAAGCCCCGGCUAACUACGUGCCAGCCGCCGCCGUAA